rnacentral:rRNA from 1 species
UACGGAGGGUGCGAGCGUUAAUCGGAAUUACUGGGCGUAAAGCGCGCGUAGGCGGUUUGUUAAGUCAGAUGUGAAAUCCCCGGGCUCAACCUGGGAACUGCAUCUGAUACUGGCAGGCUAGAGUUUGAGAGAGGAAAGUGGAAUUCCGGGUGUAGCGGUGAAAUGCGUAGAUAUCCGGAGGAACACCAGUGGCGAAGGCGACUUUCUGGCUCAAAACUGACGCUGAGGUGCGAAAGCGUGGGUAGCAAACAGG